AGCGGGGUAGAGGAAUUGGUCGACUAAUCACGCUCAUGAUCUGAAGACAGCAGGUUCGAAUCCUGUCCCCGCCU
rfam:Hordeum vulgare subsp. vulgare, WGS project CAJW01000000 data, contig: morex_contig_2199572